AUUGAACGCUGGCGGCAUGCUUUACACAUGCAAGUCGAACGGCAGCGCGGGCUUCGGCCUGGCGGCGAGUGGCGAACGGGUGAGUAAUGCAUCGGAACGUGCCCAGUAGUGGGGGAUAGCCCGGCGAAAGCCGGAUUAAUACCGCAUACGACCUGAGGGUGAAAGCGGGGGACCGAAAGGCCUCGCGCUAUUGGAGCGGCCGAUGUCGGAUUAGCUAGUUGGUGGGGUAAAGGCUUACCAAGGCGACGAUCCGUAGCUGGUCUGAGAGGACGACCAGCCACACUGGGACUGAGACACGGCCCAGACUCCUACGGGAGGCAGCAGUGGGGAAUGUUGGACAAUGGGGGCAACCCUGAUCCAGCCAGGCCGCGUGUGGGAAGAAGGCCUUCGGGUUGUAAACCGCUUUUGUUCGGGAAGAAAUCCUCUGGGCUAAUACCCCGGGGGGAUGACGGUACCGGAAGAAUAAGCACCGGCUAACUACGUG
rnacentral:rRNA from 1 species